rnacentral:rRNA from 1 species
ACCAAGGCGACGAUGGGUAGGGGUUCUGAGAGGAAGGUCCCCCACAUUGGAACUGAGACACGGUCCAAACUCCUACGGGAGGCAGCAGUGAGGAAUAUUGGUCAAUGGGCGGGAGCCUGAACCAGCCAAGUAGCGUGAAGGACGACGGCCCUACGGGUUGUAAACUUCUUUUAUAAGGGAAUAAAGUUCGCCACGUGUGGUGUUUUGUAUGUACCUUAUGAAUAAGCAUCGGCUAAUUCCGUGCCAGCAGCCGCGGUAAUACGGAAGAUGCGAGCGUUAUCCGGAUUUAUUGGGUUUAAAGGGAGCGUAGGCGGGCUUUUAAGUCAGCGGUCAAAUGUCACGGCUCAACCGUGGCCAGCCGUUGAAACUGCAAGCCUUGAGUCUGCACAGGGCACAUGGAAUUCGUGGUGUAGCGGUGAAAUGCUUAGAUAUCACGAAGAACUCCGAUCGCGAAGGCAUUGUGCCGGGGCAUAACUGACGCUGAGGCUCGAAAGUGCGGGUAUCAAACAGGAUUAGAUACCCUGGUAGUCCGCACGGUAAACGAUGAAUGCUCGCUAUGGGCGAUAUAUUGUCCGUGGCCAAGCGAAAGCGUUAAGCAUUCCACCUGGGGAGUACGCCGGCAACGGUGAAACUCAAAGGAAUUGACGGGGGCCCGCACAAGCGGAGGAACAUGUGGUUUAAUUCGAUGAUACGCGAGGAACCUUACCCGGGCUUGAAUUGCAGGUGCAUGAGUCAGAGAUGAUUCUUUCCUUCGGGACUCCUGUGAAGGUGCCGCAUGGUUGUCGUCAGCUCGUGCCGUGAGGUGUCGGCUUAAGUGCCAUAACGAGCGCAACCCUUCUCCCCAGUUGCCAUCGGGUAAUGCCGGGCCCUCUGGGGACACUGCCAUCGUAAGAUGCGAGGAAGGUGGGGAUGACGUCAAAUCAGCACGGCCCUUACGUCCGGGGCCACACACGUGUUACAAUGGGGGGUACAGAGGGCCGCUGUCCGGUGACGGUCGGCCAAUCCCUAAAACCCCUCUCAGUUCGGACUGGAGUCUGCAACCCGACUCCACGAAGCUGGAUUCGCUAGUAAUCGCGCAUCAGCCAUGGCGCGGUGAAUACGUUCCCGGGCCUUGUACACACCGCCCGUCAAGCCAUGAAAGCCGGGGGUGCCUGAAGUCCGUGACCGCGAGGGUCGGCCUAGGGUAAAACUGGUGAUUGGGGCUAAGUCGUAACAAGGUA